GCCUGCGUGGCUCAGUCGUUAAGCAUCUGACUUCGGCUCAGCUGAGAUCAUGAUUUCACAGAUCGUGGGUUUGAGCCCCACGUCAGGCU
rnacentral:tRNA from 1 species